rnacentral:snRNA from 1 species
GGAACUGAGGGCGAUCAGCUGUGCCAUUUGUCACCCCCUGAUCAUCAGGGCUGAUUUGGCUGAUCUGGCUGGCUAUGCAGUUGUCCCUUUUCCCUUUCAAGGCUCCAUGUGUAACCCUCCUGAAGCUAAGUGCAUGGUCCAAGAGAAUGACCACCUCCGCCAGAGGAGGACGUUCCUAGGUCAAGGGUAGAGAACCUGGACAAGCUCUCAAGACAGACAUUGUUCUCUGCUUUCUAGUAACAGGCAAAAACCAAUGCAACGGUACAUUAAAAUGACCAUAAAAGUGAAGAAAAUAGUUCAGAAGUUAAAUAUGAUCUUUGUACUAAUGCAUUAUUACAUUUCAGAAGAU